CUGGUACUGAGACACGGACCAGACUCCUACGGGAGGCAGCAGUGAGGAAUAUUGGUCAAUGGAGGCAACUCUGAACCAGCCAUGCCGCGUGAAGGAUGACGGCCCUAUGGGUUGUAAACUUCUUUUAUAGAGGAAGAAACU
rnacentral:rRNA from 1 species